UUAAGCGACUAAGCGUACACGGUGGAUGCCCUGGCAGUCAGAGGCGAUGAAGGACGUGCUAAUCUGCGAUAAGCGUCGGUAAGGUGAUAUGAACCGUUAUAACCGGCGAUUUCCGAAUGGGGAAACCCAGUGUGUUUCGACACACUAUCAUUAACUGAAUCCAUAGGUUAAUGAGGCGAACCGGGGGAACUGAAACAUCUAAGUACCCCGAGGAAAAGAAAUCAACCGAGAUUCCCCCAGUAGCGGCGAGCGAACGGGGAGCAGCCCAGAGCCUGAAUCAGUGUGUGUGUUAGUGGAAGCGUCUGGAAAGGCGUGCGAUACAGGGUGACAGCCCCGUACACAAAAAUGCACAUGCUGUGAGCUCGAUGAGUAGGGCGGGACACGUGGUAUCCUGUCUGAAUAUGGGGGGACCAUCCUCCAAGGCUAAAUACUCCUGACUGACCGAUAGUGAACCAGUACCGUGAGGGAAAGGCGAAAAGAACCCCGGCGAGGGGAGUGAAAAAGAACCUGAAACCGUGUACGUACAAGCAGUGGGAGCACAGAGCAAUCUGUGUGACUGCGUACCUUUUGUAUAAUGGGUCAGCGACUUAUAUUCUGUAGCAAGGUUAACCGAAUAGGGGAGCCGAAGGGAAACCGAGUCUUAACUGGGCGUUAAGUUGCAGGGUAUAGACCCGAAACCCGGUGAUCUAGCCAUGGGCAGGUUGAAGGUUGGGUAACACUAACUGGAGGACCGAACCGACUAAUGUUGAAAAAUUAGCGGAUGACUUGUGGCUGGGGGUGAAAGGCCAAUCAAACCGGGAGAUAGCUGGUUCUCCCCGAAAGCUAUUUAGGUAGCGCCUCGUGAAUUCAUCUCCGGGGGUAGAGCACUGUUUCGGCAAGGGGGUCAUCCCGACUUACCAACCCGAUGCAAACUGCGAAUACCGGAGAAUGUUAUCACGGGAGACACACGGCGGGUGCUAACGUCCGUCGUGAAGAGGGAAACAACCCAGACCGCCAGCUAAGGUCCCAAAGUCAUGGUUAAGUGGGAAACGAUGUGGGAAGGCCCAGACAGCCAGGAUGUUGGCUUAGAAGCAGCCAUCAUUUAAAGAAAGCGUAAUAGCUCACUGGUCGAGUCGGCCUGCGCGGAAGAUGUAACGGGGCUAAACCAUGCACCGAAGCUGCGGCAGCGACACUAUGUGUUGUUGGGUAGGGGAGCGUUCUGUAAGCCUGUGAAGGUGUACUGUGAGGUAUGCUGGAGGUAUCAGAAGUGCGAAUGCUGACAUAAGUAACGAUAAAGCGGGUGAAAAGCCCGCUCGCCGGAAGACCAAGGGUUCCUGUCCAACGUUAAUCGGGGCAGGGUGAGUCGACCCCUAAGGCGAGGCCGAAAGGCGUAGUCGAUGGGAAACAGGUUAAUAUUCCUGUACUUGGUGUUACUGCGAAGGGGGGACGGAGAAGGCUAUGUUGGCCGGGCGACGGUUGUCCCGGUUUAAGCGUGUAGGCUGGUUUUCCAGGCAAAUCCGGAAAAUCAAGGCUGAGGCGUGAUGACGAGGCACUACGGUGCUGAAGCAACAAAUGCCCUGCUUCCAGGAAAAGCCUCUAAGCAUCAGGUAACAUCAAAUCGUACCCCAAACCGACACAGGUGGUCAGGUAGAGAAUACCAAGGCGCUUGAGAGAACUCGGGUGAAGGAACUAGGCAAAAUGGUGCCGUAACUUCGGGAGAAGGCACGCUGAUAUGUAGGUGAAGCGACUUGCUCGUGGAGCUGAAAUCAGUCGAAGAUACCAGCUGGCUGCAACUGUUUAUUAAAAACACAGCACUGUGCAAACACGAAAGUGGACGUAUACGGUGUGACGCCUGCCCGGUGCCGGAAGGUUAAUUGAUGGGGUUAGCGCAAGCGAAGCUCUUGAUCGAAGCCCCGGUAAACGGCGGCCGUAACUAUAACGGUCCUAAGGUAGCGAAAUUCCUUGUCGGGUAAGUUCCGACCUGCACGAAUGGCGUAAUGAUGGCCAGGCUGUCUCCACCCGAGACUCAGUGAAAUUGAACUCGCUGUGAAGAUGCAGUGUACCCGCGGCAAGACGGAAAGACCCCGUGAACCUUUACUAUAGCUUGACACUGAACAUUGAGCCUUGAUGUGUAGGAUAGGUGGGAGGCUUUGAAGUGUGGACGCCAGUCUGCAUGGAGCCGACCUUGAAAUACCACCCUUUAAUGUUUGAUGUUCUAACGUUGACCCGUAAUCCGGGUUGCGGACAGUGUCUGGUGGGUAGUUUGACUGGGGCGGUCUCCUCCUAAAGAGUAACGGAGGAGCACGAAGGUUGGCUAAUCCUGGUCGGACAUCAGGAGGUUAGUGCAAUGGCAUAAGCCAGCUUGACUGCGAGCGUGACGGCGCGAGCAGGUGCGAAAGCAGGUCAUAGUGAUCCGGUGGUUCUGAAUGGAAGGGCCAUCGCUCAACGGAUAAAAGGUACUCCGGGGAUAACAGGCUGAUACCGCCCAAGAGUUCAUAUCGACGGCGGUGUUUGGCACCUCGAUGUCGGCUCAUCACAUCCUGGGGCUGAAGUAGGUCCCAAGGGUAUGGCUGUUCGCCAUUUAAAGUGGUACGCGAGCUGGGUUUAGAACGUCGUGAGACAGUUCGGUCCCUAUCUGCCGUGGGCGCUGGAGAACUGAGGGGGGCUGCUCCUAGUACGAGAGGACCGGAGUGGACGCAUCACUGGUGUUCGGGUUGUCAUGCCAAUGGCACUGCCCGGUAGCUAAAUGCGGAAGAGAUAAGUGCUGAAAGCAUCUAAGCACGAAACUUGCCCCGAGAUGAGUUCUCCCUGACUCCUUGAGAGUCCUGAAGGAACGUUGAAGACGACGACGUUGAUAGGCCGGGUGUGUAAGCGCAGCGAUGCGUUGAGCUAACCGGUACUAAUGAACCGUGAGGCUUAACCU
rnacentral:rRNA from 1 species